rnacentral:rRNA from 1 species
UACGUAGGGUGCAAGCGUUGUCCGGAAUUAUUGGGCGUAAAGAGCUCGUAGGCGGUCUGUCGCGUCUGCUGUGAAAACUCAGGGCUUAACCCUGAGCUUGCAGUGGGUACGGGCAGACUAGAGUGCGGUAGGGGAGACUGGAAUUCCUGGUGUAGCGGUGAAAUGCGCAGAUAUCAGGAGGAACACCGAUGGCGAAGGCAGGUCUCUGGGCCGCAACUGACGCUGGAGGAGCGAAAGCAUGGGGAGCGAACAGG